GAUGAACGCUAGCGGCAGGCCUAACACAUGCAAGUCGAGGGAGAAGCCCUUUCGGGGGCAGAAACCGGCGCACGGGUGCGUAACGCGUAUGCAACCUACCUUUCACAGGGGGAUAGCCCGAAGAAAUUUGGAUUAAUACCCCAUAAUAUUAUUGGAUGGCAUCAUUUGAUAAUUAAAACUGCGGUGGUGAAAGAUGGGCAUGCGUCCUAUUAGCUAGUUGGAGUGGUAACGGCACCCCAAGGCUACGAUAGGUAAGGGUCCUGAGAGGGAGAUCCCCCACACUGGUACUGAGACAGGGACCAGACUCCUACGGGAGGCAGCAGUGAGGAAUAUUGGUCAAAUGGUCGGAAGACUGAAACCCAGCCCAUGCCGCGUGCCAGGAAGAAAUGCCCUUAUGGGUUGUAAAACU
rnacentral:rRNA from 1 species